AAACUAACAAGGAUUCCCCUAGUAACGGCGAGUGAAGAGGGAAGAGCCCAAGAUUGAAAGCUGGCGUCUUCGGCGUCCGCAUUGUAAUCUCAAGAAGUGUUUUCCGCUUCGGACCAAGCCUAAGUCCCCUGGAAAGGGGCAUCAUAGAGGGUGAUAAUCCCGUACAUGGCUUGGAGCGCCCGUAGCUUUGUGAUACACUUUCUAAGAGUCGAGUUGUUUGGGAAUGCAGCUCAAAAUGGGUGGUAAAUGCCAUCUAAGGCUAAAUAUUGGGGAGAGACCGAUAGCGAACAAGUACAGUGAUGGAAAGAUGAAAAGAACUUUGAAAAGAGAGUUAAACAGUACGUGAAAUUGCCAAAAGGGAAGGGUAGGAGGUCAGAGAUGCGGCCUAGGAUUCAGCCUUGCUUUUGCUUGGUGUUUUUCCUAGAUUGCAGGCCAACGUCGGUUUUGGGCACUGGAGAAGGGUGGAAGGAACGUGGCACCUCUCGGGGUGUGUUAUAGCCUUCUACUGGAUACAGCGACCGAGACCGAGGACAGCAGCGUACUCGCAAGAGCGGGCCUUCGGGCACCUUUACGCUUAGGGCGUUGGCAUAAUGGCCCUCUACCACCCGUCUUGA
rnacentral:rRNA from 1 species